rnacentral:rRNA from 1 species
UGCCAGCAGCCGCGGUAACACGGGGGGCGCAAGCGUUAUUCGGUAUCACUGGGCUUAAAGCGUGCGUAGGCGGCUUGAUAGGUGAGAUGUGAAAGCCCACGGCCCAACCGUGGAAUUGCGUUUCAAACCCUCAAGCUCGAGGAAGAUAGGGGUGAUGGGAACUUAUGGUGGAGCGGUGAAAUGCGUUGAUAUCAUAGGGAACACCGGUGGCGAAAGCGCAUCACUGGAUCUUUUCUGACGCUGAGGCACGAAAGCUAGGGUAGCGAACGGGAUUAGCUA